CACCCCUUGGUGCAGAUAAGCCAUCAGGACACGGUUUAGUACACUCCCGCAACCUGCGGGGGGCGAUGGAAAGACCGUGAGGCUAAAAGGAG
rnacentral:sRNA from 12 species